rnacentral:rRNA from 1 species
GACGAACGCUGGCGGCGUGCUUAACACAUGCAAGUCGAGCGGUAAGGCCCUUUCGGGGGUACACGAGCGGCGAACGGGUGAGUAACACGUGGGUGACCUGCCUCUAGCUCUGGGAUAAGCCCGGGAAACUGGGUCUAAUACUGGAUAUGACUCCAUGACGCAUGUUGUGGGGUGGAAAGCCUUGUGCGGCUAGAGAUGGGCCCGCGGCCUAUCAGCUUGUUGGUGGGGUGAUGGCCUACCAAGGCGACGACGGGUAGCCGGCCUGAGAGGGCGACCGGCCACACUGGGACUGAGACACGGCCCAGACUCCUACGGGAGGCAGCAGUGGGGAAUCUUGCGCAAUGGGCGAAAGCCUGACGCAGCGACGCCGCGUGAGGGAUGACGGCCUGGUGU